rnacentral:lncRNA from 1 species
UUUGUACAGAAGGUACAAAACAAAGAAGCCCAGAACAUUCUUCAUGAUGCAUGCAAACACAGGCAUGUUCUCACACAAAUAUACCACAUAAGUCAAAAGACAAACAGCAAGCUGUAGAAAAAAAUUCAAGUCAGCACACAUAGAGGGCUAAUUCCUUGAACAUAUAAAGACCAAUUACAAAUGGAUAAGAAAAAGACAACUAUCCCUCUUUGGUUUGGAUAUGGUUUGGUUGUCCCCCAUUGGUCCAUGUGUUGGAGACUUGGUCACCAGGGUGUCAGUAUUGGGAGGUUCUGUUGGCCUUUAAAAGCUUGGAUUCACUGGGGGCCCUCAAAGGAAAUUAAUUACAGUAUUUAUCCUAUGACCCCUUGGUAGUUCUGAAGAGAAGGCUAUAGAAAAGGAGAAAGCUAGCCAGGUGCAGUGGCCCACACUUGUAAUUCCAGGGGCUCAUGAGUCCGAGGCAGAAGGAUUGCAAGUUCCAGACUAGCCUUAGCAAUUUAGCGAGGCCCUAAGCAACUCAGUGAGACCCUGUCUCAAAAUUGAAAAAAAGUGAGGAUGUGGCUCAGAGGUUAAGCACCCCUGGGUUUAAUCCCUGUACCAAUAAAUAAAUAAAAUAAUAAUAAUAAACAAAAGGACAAAGUCUAGGGCUGGGGAGUAUAUCUCAGUGGUGGAGCGCUUGUCUAGAGUGAGUGAGCCCCUGGGUUCCAUCUCCAGCACUGGGGAGAAAAACAACAAACAAACAACCCACCACAGUGGCACACUCCUCUAAUCUCAGUUACUCCACAGGCAGAGCAGGAGUAUCUUAAAUUCCAUACCAGCCUGGGCAACUUGGCAGACUCUGUCUCAAAAUCAAGAUCAAAAAGGGCUGGGAUGAAAUUCAUUGGGAGAGCACCCCUGGGUUUAAUCCCUAUCACCAGUGGGGAAAAAAAGAAAAAAGUAGGCUAUGUCAGGUAUUUUGUGUAGUGACAACAAGCUGACGAAAAAAUGUCCCAAUAAAUAAAUGAGCAAAGCAUAUGAAAAGACAGUUCCCAGAAUGCAAAUUGUUCUUAAACCUAGGAAGAUGUUUAUCUCACACAUAAUGAGAGAUAUGCAAAUUAAAACCAAACUGAGGUAUCAAUUGACAUUUAUUAGAUUGGCAAAGAAUUAAUAUUUGAUAACAGUCUUUUGGCAAGAUUGUGGGAAAAGAGGCAUGCUAAUAGAUUUUGCAAAUGUAAAUGGAAUAACCCCUAGAGGGCAAUUUUUCAAUAUUAAUUAAAAUAAUAAAUGAGUAUAUUUGACCCAGCAUUUAUAUUUCUGGAGCUUUAUCCUACAAAUAAGUUAUAACCAUUUGUGUGAAAUAUAUGUGUUUAUUGUAUUAUGUUAGCAAAAGAUUGAAAGCAACAAGUGCAGGGCGAAGUGGCA